ensembl:lncRNA
AUUCAACAUCUAUUCCGCGUUGGUUCCACAUCAUUUCAUUGAACCAAAGUGGAAAAAACUCUGCUCUGAAACCUCAUCUCGCUUUUCAAGUGACAAACAACAAUUUUUUAUCACACCAGGAUUCCAUAGUCAGUCGGGUGAUUGAAACAGGUUAGUGUACUUCUGAGAGUGACUCAUAACGCACAGUGGGAGAUGCUUCUGUAAAUGUGUGUGUGUGAUUAUGUGUGUGUGUGUGUGUGUGGGUGUGUGUGUGUGUGUGUGUGUGUGCGUGUGUGUGUGUGUGUGUGUGUGUGGGUGUGUGUGGGCAGUUCAGUGUGCUUGCAGAUUAAUGUGCGCAUGUGCCUCUGCUGAACAUGUAUCUAUUAAAGCAGAGUCUGAUCUCAGAGAGACUCAGAGAGAGAGAGAGACAGAGAGAGAGACAGAGAGACAGACAGACAAACAGAGAGAGACAGACAGACAGAGACAGAGAGAGAGACAGACAGAGAGACAGACAGAGAGACAGACAGACAAAGAGCCUGGGAGACAGACAAAGAGCCUGGGAGACAGACAAAGACAGACAGACAGACAGUAUGUCUCCCUCCCAGUCCUCCCUACUACUGCUACUGCUGAUGGUCUCCUGCUCCUGGGCCUCCCACUUUUUAGGAGGAACCAUGACCUUCAACCCCAGAGAGACCAACCCAGACGGAACCUACAGGGUGGACCUUGAUUACAAGACAACCUUCCACUCUACCGUCUGCCUAACUGAUACCUGGUAUUGUAUCAGUGAGGACUGUGGGAAUGAGAUCAGUUUAGUGGUUAACAUCGUGGACCAGGGGAUAUCUGAGGACUGGUGUCAGACAGAGGGAGUCAUGACUAGACACGUCUCCAAUAACACACAGACCUUUGAUCUGCUAUUGGAUAGCGGAAACUGGAUAGAUAAUGAUAAUUAUGUUAGUGCUUGGAGGCUGUGGACUCAUGUGGAUCUUGGGGUCAGGUCUGACACGACGACAGUCAACCGAUCUCCACAGACCACUGUCAUGCCUCUGAUGCGUGUCCCUGCUAAUUGUCCAAGAGAUUUCAACCUGUUGUCGUUUGAUCCAGACGGGGAUGAGGUCAGAUGCAGAUAUGCAGUACCAACGAAUGAGUGUGUCACAUCAAGUGACCUUCCUAAUGACUUCACUCUAAGAGAGAACUGCACCUUGUCAUUUUGGGGCAACAGUAAUACCACUAGAACAUAUGCAGUUCAGUUAGUGAUGGAAGAUUUCCCGACUCAGUCCAUCUCUCUCUCCUAUACUGACGGAUCUCAAUCUAUCAGGACCUCAAACAACACACUCUGCAAACUACCUGUUCAGUUUGCAGUGAGAGUGGACCCCCCGGUGACAUCCUGUAUGGAGGGGUUGUACCUACCCAUGUUCCUGUCUCCAACACCAGCCCAGGGUGCACUGCUCUACGCCUCUGCAGACCAACCCCUGGAAAUCACUGUCAGAGCACAGGCUACCCAGUCCACGGUUUCAGAGCUGUUGGUGAGUGGACCUUCCAGUAUCACAGAGAACACCACUGUCCCAGGAGAGUACCUUCUAAGAUGGACGCCCACUGAGGAUGAGGAGGGAGGGUACUAUCCUGUGUGCUUCAUCGCUCAGGGAGUGAACGACAAUUCCACGUAUCACUCUGAGCUGCGCUGUCUGAUCGUCAGGGUUGGAAACACAAGUGCCAUCAGAACCACAGAGGAACCAACACCCUCCCCUCCCCUGACAAUAAAUCUCACAACCACAGAGGAACCAACACCCUCCCCUCCUCUGACAAUAAACCUCACAACCACAGAGGAACCAACACCCUCCCCUCCUCUGACAAUAAACCUCACAACCACAGAGGAACCAACACCCUCCCCUCCUCUGACAAUAAACCUCACAACCACAGAGACACCAACAACCUCCCCUCCUCUAACAACAAACCUCACGACCACACAGAUUUCACCUGCACUUCCAAAUACCACCCAAACAACUACUGAACUCACAACCACACCCACAAAUGUCAGUACGUACGCACCCACAACUACCAAUGUGACCACAACUACCACAGCAUCCACAACUUUAAGUACACACCCAACCACCGAUCUCACAACCGAUAUUGUGGACGGUACAACAACGAGCAGUGUGCCUAGAUACGUUGUUGUACUGAGGAUAAAACUGUCCUCUCUGAUCGCACUCACAGAUGAUUACAUCAGAAACGUGGUUUUACAGCAGCUCCGUGAGGAACUGAUCAGACAAGGGCUGCCAGGGGACUUCGCGCUACGCCUGAGAGCCACUCAUGGGAUCAGUUCCUGAGGGAGGAACAGGAAUUCAGAUCAACUUUGAUCACUCCUACUUGUCUUUUCUUCCUGGUUCUGAUUCUGCAGAAAGUUCUUCUGAAGAAGAAGUGGUUCCUUAUAAUGACAGAAUAUGGUUGAUUUGUACUAAUCUCUUGGGACAGACGCACGUAAAAUAAAUGAUGAUAUUUGUUCUGGAUUGCCAGGAUUAGUUGAAUGGACUGACUACUUCUGACUGGAUGUUAGUUAAAUGGACUGACUACUUCUGACUGGAUGUUAGUUAAAUGGACUGACUACUUCUGACUGGAUGUUAGUUAAAUGGACUGACUACUUCUGACUGGAUGUUAGUUAAAUGGACUGACUACUUCUGACUGGAUGUUAGUUGAAUGGACUGACUACUUCUGACUGGAUGUUAGUUGAAUGGACUGACUACUUCUGACUGGAUGUUAGUUGAACGGACUGACUACUUCUGACUGAAUGUUAGUUGAAUGGACUGACUACUUCUGACUGGAUGUUAGUUGAAUGGACUGACUACUUCUGACUGGAUGUUAGUUGAAUGGACUGACUACUUCUGACUGGAUGUUAGUUAAAUGGACUGACUACUUCUGACUGGAUGUUAGUUGAAUGGACUGACUACUUCUGACUGGAUGUUAGUUAAAUGGACUGACUACUUCUGACUGGAUGUUAGUUAAAUGGACUGACUACUUCUGACUGGAUGUUAGUUGAAUGGACUGACUACUUCUGACUGGAUGUUAGUUGAAUGGACUGACUACUUCUGACUGGAUGUUAGUUGAAUGGACUGACUACUUCUGACUGGAUGUUAGUUGAAUGGACUGACUACUUCUGACUGGAUGUUAGUUGAAUGGACUGACUACUUCUGACUGGAUGUUAGUUAAAUGACUAAAAUGUAAAUGUUUUAUGUCCAGAAGAAGAAAUACAACAUUAAUAUGUUUUUUAACGUACAGAGGUAGACUGGGGUUCUUUCCUGUUUGGUAAUGUACAGAGGUAGACUGGGGUUCUUUCCUGUUUGGUAACGUACAGAGGUAGACUGAGGUUCUUUCCUGUUUGGUAACGUACAGAGGUAGACUGGGGUUCUUUCCUGUUUGGUAACGUACAGAGGUAGACUGGGGUUCUUUCCUGUUUGGUAACGUACAGAGGUAGACUGGGGUUCUUUCCUGUUUGGUAACGUACAGAGGUAGACUGGGGUUCUUUCCUGUUUGGUAAUGUACAGAGGUAGACUGGGGUUCUUUCCUGUUUGGUAACGUACAGAGGUAGACUGGGGUUCUUUCCUGUUUGGUAAUGUACAGAGGUAGACUGGAGUUCUUUCCUGUUUGGUGAUGUACAGAGGUAGACUGGGGUUCUUUCCUGUUUGGUAAUGUACAGAGGUAGACUGAGGUUCUUUCCUGUUUGGUAACGUACAGAGGUAGACUGGGGUUCUUUCCUGUUUGGUAACGUACAGAUGUAGACUGGGGUUCUUUCCUGUUUGGUAAUGUGCAGAGGUAGACUGGGGUUCUUUCCUGUUUGGUGAUGUACAGAGGUAGACUGGGGUUCUUUCCUGUUUGGUAAUGUACAGAGGUAGACUGGGGUUCUUUCCUGUUUGGUGAUGUACAGAGGUAGACUGGGGUUCUUUCCUGUUUGGUAAUGUACAGAGGUAGACUGGGGUUCUUUCCUGUUUGGUGAUGUACAGAGGUAGACUGAGGUUAUUUCCUGUUUGGUAAUGUACAGAGGUAGACUGGGGUUCUUUCCUGUUUGGUGAUGUACAGAGGUAGACUGAGGUUAUUUCCUGUUUGGUAACGUACAGAGGUAGACUGGGGUUCUUUCCUGUUUGGUAACGUACAGAGGUAGACUGAGGUUCUUUCCUGUUUGGUAAUGUACAGAGGUAGACUGAGGUUCUUUCCUGUGUCAAGAAUAGUUGGUUGAGGCUCAGUUUUCUGUGACAUUUUAGUGACAGAGGACACCGGUAGGUAGGACCCACUUGUAAACACCCACACACACUCAGGAAGACGUUUCACUUUCACUCACACAUGGAACAUAAAGAAGAAUGAACAAUGAGGUUGAAUUGACACUGACGAAAGAGAAGAAAUUAACUGACUGACGAAAGAGAAGAAGAAAUGAAUUGGGACUGGAAUUGAUUGAAAUCCUAAUUAAAGGUUAAACAUAUUAAAUGUUAAAGGUUGAAAACAUUGGGAGAUAUUAAAGGUGUUAAAAUAAUGCAGGUAAAGGUAAAGAGAGUUAUAAUGUAGUUUUCUUUAAGUUGUGAAUCAUAUAGACUGUGUUUGAUUCUGCUUAGAGGACAAGGCCUUAGGAGGUUGAUAACGAGACGUUAUAAUGGUCAAAUGUUAUAAUGUUGAAAUGUUUAAAAUAUUGAAGUAUUAAAAUAUAACUGGAGUAAUAAAUUAGGUUGUAGUAAGAUUAGAAUUGAGUAAAGGUCGUUUGAAAAAUUUAUGUUUUAAGAAGUUGAUGUUAAUGAAGUAUAGUAAAGGUGCUAGCUUGAUCUGGAAAUCCCUUAAUGUUACCUCAUUGAUAGAAGUGUUCUAGUACACUCUAGGUGGAACCCUUAAUGUUACCUCAUUGAUAGAAGUGUUCUAGUACAUUCUAGGAGGAACCAUUAAUGUUACCUCAUUGAUAGAAGUGUUCUAGUACAUUCUAGGAGGAACCAUUAAUGUUACCUCAUUGACAGAAGUGUUCUAGAACAUUCUAGGAGGAACCCUUUAGGUUACCUAAUUGGUAGAAGUGUUCUAGAACAUUCUAGGAGGAAUCCUAUAGGUUACCUCAUUGGUAGAAGUGUUCUAGUAGCUGUUAGUUUUUUAGACACCAACUGAGGGACUGAGCAUCCUGAGGGGGGAGACAAAAAUCUGUUUAUAAGUUGUAGAAGGUAAGAACGUGUUUUUCUUGUUAUUAAAUACAGUGCUUCUCAUUAAAUUGUGAAAAAAAAUAUAUAAUAUUGGUAGACCCUAAUAAGGGUUUAGUUAAGGGUUUAGUUAAGGGCGCUCAAUUUAAUCCAAGGAAAUGUUUUGCUUAUCAUCGAUUGGUGAUAUUGAUUUGUGAUUGGUUGAUCGAGGGUUUUUUAUGCCUGUUUCUGGAAUUUUGAAUAAACUUGCUUUAUUGUUCUGAAACCCUGUGUCAUCAAAGAGUCAUACAAGCGCAUGUCGUUUUACUCCAGGUUUCUGAAACAGACUGGAUUAAUUCAGGAUUUGUAGCAUCUGGUUAAAUAGUCUAUCGGGAACCUGAAUUGCUGGUAUGAAGGAACCUGAGACCCAACUAAUGGUACUGAGCGCAUUGGUAGGAGUCGUAUGAGGGGUGAUUCUGCGCUAAACCAACCCAGGAGAGAGUAUCCACUCAUAGUGUUUUAAGGUCCACGCUCUGGCCAGGACGAUCCUGAAAAAGAGGCGGAUUCUCAACGAGCUUCAUGAUGUAGUCACCUGGAACGCAUUUCAAUUUACAGGUGUGCCUUGUUAAAAGUUCAUUUGUGGAAUUUAUUUUCAUGAGCCAAUUAGUUGUGUUGUGACAUGGUAGGGGUGAUAUACAGAAGACAACCCUAUUUGCUAAAAGACCCAAGUCAAUAUUAUGGCAAGAACAGCUCAAAUAAGCAGAGAGAAACGACAGUCCAUUAUUAAAUUUAAGACAUGAAGGUCAGUCAAUCCGGAAAAUGUCAAGAACUUUGAAAGUUUCUUCAAGUGCAUUCGCAAAAACCAUCAAGCGCUAUAAUGAAACCACAAAAUGUUCAAUGAUGGCCUAGAAACAGUGGGUUAACUGUCUUGUUCAGGGGAACAGUGGGUUAACUGCCUUGUUCAGGGGAACAGUGGGUUAAAUGCCUUGUUCAGGGGAACAGUGGGUUAACUGUCUUGUUCAGGGGAACAGUGGGUUAACUGUCUUGUCCAGGGGAACAGUGGGUUAACUGUCUUGUUCAGGGGAACAGUGUGUUAACUGCCUUGUUCAGGGGAACAGUGGGUUAACUGCCUUGUUCAGGGGAACAGUGGGUUAACUGCCUUGUUCAGGGGAACAGUGGGUUAACUGCCUUGUUCAGGGGAACAGUGGGUUAACUGCCUUGUUCAGGGGAACAGUGAGUUAACUGCCUUGUUCAGGGGAACAGUGGGUUAACUGCCUUGUUCAGGGGAACAGUGGGUUAACUGCCUUGUUCAGGGGAACAGUGGGUUAACUGCCUUGUUCAGGGGAACAGUGGGUUAACUGCCUUGUUCAGAAGAACAGUGGGUUAACUGCCUUGUUCAGGGGAACAGUGGGUUAACUGCCUUGUUCAGGGGAACAUAGGGUUAACUGCCUUGUUCAGGGGCAGAACAACAGAUGUUUUACCUUGUCAGCUCGGGGAUUCGAUCUUGCAACCUUUUAGUUGCUAGUCCAACACUCUAACCACUAGGCUAC